rnacentral:rRNA from 1 species
GGAACGCGUCAAGGAACUCAAACUGAAUUGAACGUCACCUCCCCCGUUUGCGGGCAGCGGUGGCGUCAUUCCAUAACAUAAACGACUCUCGGCAACGGWUAUCUCGGCUCUCGCAUCGAUGAARAACGUAGCGAAAUGCGAUACUUGGUGUGAA